UAGAUCGUUCACUCUUAUUAAACACAUCUGUGUGACGACGGUUCAACCGCUGCAGUUCCUCAACGAUUAAAUGAACAAAAACAAAGUUCAGGCUCUAUUUU